CAGUCGCCACGGUAAUACGUAGGGUGCGAGCGUUAAUCGGAAUUACUGGGCGUAAAGCGUGCGCAGGCGGUUGUGUAAGACAGGUGUGAAAUCCCCGGGCUUAACCUGAGAACUGCGCUUGUGACUGCACAGCUAGAGUAUGGCAGAGGGGGGUGGAAUUCCACGUGUAGCAGUGAAAUGCGUAGAGAUGAGGAGGAACACCGAUGGCGAAGGCAGCCCCCUGGGCCAAUACUGACGCUCAUGCACGAAAGCGUGGGGAGCAAACAGGAUUAGAUACCCGUGUAGUCCCUGUCUCUUAUAC
rnacentral:rRNA from 1 species